GCGUCGGUGGUUCAGCGGUAGAAUACUCGCCUGCCACGCGGGUGACCCGGGUUCGAUUCCCAGCCGACGCG
rnacentral:tRNA from 1 species